GCAUGCUUAAUAGAAAUGGCGAACGGCUCAGUAAUGUUGCGAUGAUUUGCUCUUGAUGGUACAGAUAACCACGGCAAGCUGUGGCUAAGAGGCAAGAAUAAGACGCAACCCUAUCAGUUAGUUGGUAGUGUAAAGGACUACCAAGACGACGACGGGUGACGGGAAAUGAGGGUUUGAUUCCGGAGAGGGAGCCUGAGAGAUGGCUCCCACGUCCAAGGACGGCAGCAGGCGCGAAAAUUGCCCACUCUUUGGUGAGGAGGCAGUUAUGAGACGUAGAUUAGAGGGCACAGUAAACAAGUGCUUUGAGUAUUGGAGGGCAAGUUUGGUGCC
rnacentral:rRNA from 1 species